GAUCAGGAUUCCCAAUUGGGUUGGACUCACGCCUCGUCUCGCGCCUCUUCGGAUCCCCAAAUCCCGGUUCCCGCUUCCGUCGCCCGAUCAGGAUCAACCAUCCAUCGGUUGGAUUCCGAUCGAAUGGUUUUUCCGAUGUUUAUGGAGGAAUUGUUCCGGAUCGAGAAGAUGAAGCUGAGAUUUCUGCGCACCCUGCAGCUCAUGGGAUGCAAGCCUCGCCUUGCUUUCGAGUCAUCUCUGAGGCCUAGUGAUGCUAAUGGUACCAGUAGCACUGGAAGCAUUGAUGAUUUUAAGGGGGACUGCGUUAACAAUGUUACCAGAUAAGUCCUUUCCAGUUGUGGCUGUCCGGGUAUAUCAUCAGGACCUGCAUAAGAGGUAUGAAGAGUAUGGAAGUUCCAAGCAGAGUAGCAUGGAAAUUCCUUGAAUAAAAUUGUGAGCUAAGCUGAACCCAAUUGGUGCAAGAGGUUGUUCAGGUGGUGGAUCAGGCAUUUCUGGGAUCAAUGGAAGAUGUGAAUGAUGGACUACGAUUGAUGGCUACUAGCUAAAUUCUGGUAGCUGAUGUUGCAGCCAUGAGAGAUGAACUUCAUCUCCCAAUGGUUUGAAGUAUAUUUGUUGGUUCCAACUUGUUUGUAGGCCAUCCUAAUUGUAAAUUAAUGUCGUGAUUUGCAAGAGGAUUUGCUGCUAAUCCCAAAGGCAACAAGAUAUCUGUUAAUGGAAAACCGGGUGACAUUACCAUGGCUGGACAGUCUCUAGGUCUUGUCUUCGGAUUGCAUGUCAGCAUGCAGGAACAUGUCCAAGAAGAAUUAGCUGGGCUUAUCCGUUGCUUGAAAUAUAAAAAGCAUGUACAGUAUAUUGAUACAGGAUUUUUUGCAUUUGCAGCAUCUCUGCAAACGGAUUCUCUCUUUUUAUUACCACUGUUUUCUGUCUGUGACAUUUUGAUUGUUUUUGCACAUUAUAUAGUUAGCUAAUCUUGUUCAACGAUGGCAUCUCCUGUCUACCUCAUGUUCUAGCUAAUCUUCAGUGCCCGACAGUGAAGAAGAGAUUGAUGAGGAACGAGAUUAUGAUCAAAAGUGACGUUUGAUGAGGAGAUUGCUGAGAAGGUAAGAAACAGAAACUUGAGCUGAAAAUUGCUGUUGACUUUUAGAAAGAAAAGUGGUAUCUUGUUGGCCUAGUGGAAUUAUUAAGCCUAGGUAAUACUGUGGGAUCACCACCCUCUAUUAUUCUCAAAAGAAAAAGGAAAGAAGAAGAAUAAGAAGAAAAGACACGAAGAUAGUCACUUCAUGAAAACUUCUCUAGACUACAUUUUGUAUUAGGCAUAUUGUAGCUCAAUAACAUAAACACUAGUCUUGUUAUUCAGAGCCAUCCAUGUAGAUUGCGUAGAUUAAAUGACUGCUUAUGGACUGGUCGAAUAUUUCCUGUUGAUGCAAGUGACCAUGAAAUGCGUUGCUCUAAUAUUUUGACUAUGACCACAUUAAAUAAUAAGGCAUUAUGUAUGACUAUGAUCUUAGAAGCAUGCUAAAUUUCUGGUUUUUGUGAUUUUUCCAUGUCAGCUAGGCAGCCGAUAACUUGAACAGUUGGUUGUAGCCAAUUUCUCAUUUUGUAGUGAAGUGUUUGUCAACUGAUGCAUAUCAUAUGGUCUAACUUGUAUUUUUGUUUUCCUUGGUCUUUGCUUGGUUUGCUCAACCAAUGAGAUCAUUGCAACUAGAAUACUGUGGUAUGAAUACAUACCGAAUUUCUCUAUUUCUGCAUCACGCAUAUGGCGCAAUCAAGUCCCACAGAAAGUACUCGUCCGGAUUGCAGGAAGCAGGCGUUAUAUGCUGCAAAAGGGAUUUGAAUCAACGACACCUUUGAAAGGCAUCCGAAUGGUGGACAAUGGUAAGGAGGUCGUUCUAAUUGCUGUAGAUGUGACUUGGAAAUGUUGGACCACAUCAAUCGAUAAAUUGAAUUGAUCAAGAAACCAGAAUUGAAUGAGCCCAAUCUGAUCAUUUCAGUUUU